rnacentral:rRNA from 1 species
GAUGAACGCUGGCGGCGUGCUUAACACAUGCAAGUCGAACGAUGAAGCCCAGCUUGCUGGGUGGAUUAGUGGCGAACGGGUGAGUAACACGUGAGUAACCUGCCCUUAACUCUGGGAUAAGCCUGGGAAACUGGGUCUAAUACCGGAUAGGAGCGUCCACCGCAUGGUGGGUGUUGGAAAGAUUUAUCGGUUUUGGAUGGACUCGCGGCCUAUCAGCUUGUUGGUGAGGUAAUGGCUCACCAAGGCGACGACGGGUAUCCGGCCUGAGAGGGUGACCGGCCACACUGGGACUGAGACACGGCCCAGACUCCUACGGGAGGCAGCAGUGGGGAAUAUUGCACAAUGGGCGAAAGCCUGAUGCAGCGACGCCGCGUGAGGGAUGACGGCCUUCGGGUUGUAAACCUCUUUCAGUAGGGAAGAAGCGAAAGUGACGGUACCUGCAGAAGAAGCACCGGCUAACUACGUG